GUGUGUUGCCAGGUACAUCAGUUCCAAAACUACUAAUCUACUUUCUGUUCUAUGGAUUGUCCAAUUACAGCUACUCAGGAAGCUGAGGCAGGCGAAUCGCUUGAACUUGGGAGGCAGAGGUUGCAGUGAGCCAAGAUCGCGCCACUGCACUCCAGCCUGGACAACAGAGCAAGACUGCAUCUCAAAAAAAAAAAAGAAAAAGCAAUCAGCAAACCUGCUAAAAACCUAAGUCGGAUCAUGUCUCUGCUCUGCUCAUGGUCCCUCUAAAAAGCUCAAGUCCUCCCUGUGGCCUUUGCAGGCUCACAUUGUUAGAGGUGUCUGAACCAGAGCAACCCCAUCUUGAGUAGGGGCUGGGUCAAAUGGGGUUGGGACUUGCUGGGCCAUAUUCCCAGAUGGCUAAGGCAUUCUAAGUCACAGUAUGAGACAGGAGAUCAGCACAAGAUACAGGUCAUAAAGACCUUGCUGAUAAAACAGUUUGCAGUAAGGAAGCCUGUCAAAACCCACCAAAAGCAAGAUGGCCACGAGACCAACCUCUGGUCAUCCUCACUGCUCCACUCCCACCAGUGCCAUGGCAGUUUACAAAUGCCAUGGCAACAUCAGGACGUUACCCUAUAUGGUCUAAAAAGGGGAAGCAAAGGCCAGGCACACUGGCUUACCCCUGUAACCCUAGCACUUUGGGAGGCCAAGGCAGGCAGAUUGCCUGGGGUCAGGAGUUCGAGACCCGCC
rnacentral:lncRNA from 1 species